rnacentral:ncRNA from 1 species
UUUCUUCAGGGCAGGGUGUGAUUCCCGACCGGCGGUAAAGUCCGCGAGCAUCUGUUUUGGUGCAUGAUUCGGUGCAACUCCGAAACCGACAGUAUAGUCUGGAUGGAAGAAGAA